UGUAGCUGUCUACAAAUUUGCGUGUGUUCAGUUAUCGCUCCGGUUCUGCGCGCAAGUGGUAAUUGUUCGGUCCGCGCACCGCUUGGGAAAGUAGCUGCCGCGUCGCCGCCACCGCAGUAAAGGAGUCGCAAAUGCGAAGAAGCGGCCAUCACCGCCAUGUCGAAGAACAAAGAUCUAGAAAGUGGAACACCUAGACUGCUGCAACAUCUACAGGAGAAAGGAUGGCUGUGAACAGCACCAAGAUUCAGGGACCUGAUUUGUCAGUCAAAAUUUCUUGGCAGUUGUCUGGUUGGUGACAGCCUCUUUUUUUCUGUUACUGGAUCACAGCAGCACCGUCUGAACCCAAAUUCAGCUGCUCAUGGCUCAAAAGGCCAAACUUGAGAGGACUGUCCUGGACCGGCAAAUUCUUAGAUUGUUCAUUAAAGGAGCUUCCGGAAAGACUCAUCAACUCUUCAAGGGAGGACAUCAACAGGUGCUGUUUGUACCCUCAGAUCUUUGAAUAAUUUACCUCAAGAUGCUUGUCUUGCUGUUUCUACCAAUGAGCUAUGUUGGGCUGUGAUCCUAUAUAUAAUCCUAAUAUAGGCAUCCUAAUUCCCUGGGAAGACCCACCUUAAAGCAAACUGCCAAUUCUCAAAAAUUUCUGACCUUACCUUCCCCACUCUUGCAUACUGCCAAAGGUCCAUGAAGUGGUAUUCCUCUUCAACCAGUAGUGAGCAAUAAAGUCAAUAAAGAUUUUUCUUAUCUACAAGUGUAUGUUGAUGAGUGUGGUUUGG